UGCUCGGCUGGGAUUCGAACCCAGAACUCUUGUAUGCAAGACGCUCGCUUUACCAACCAAGCUGAGU
rnacentral:tRNA from 1 species